AAAAAUACAUGACAUUUUAUAAUGCUUGAUUCAAAUAAACCCACAAUAAAACAUCACAGUGUUUCAGGGUGGGUUUGUAGAGAAGUGUGUGUGGUGUCUGUGCAGAGAGGAUGCAGUGGUCCUUUUCUCCCUUACUGUGUGAUAACCCAGCAGCUGGAGAAUUUGCUGGCUGGCAGGGACACAGGGUUCAAGCCUUCCUUGUGCUGAUGCAACCUACUGAAAGUGCUUGCCAGCUUGAUAAUGCUUGUCCUGGUUGUCUUCAUUGUAUUUAUGUACAGCAGAAAUGUCUGGUCUGCCUGCCCAGGGAAUACAGAAUGAAGAUCCUACCUUGAUGAAAUAUCAAGAGGGGACAAUCCACAUUUGAUGGUAUCUCUAAUGACUUCAGAUCUAUAUAAGAUCUUAUGCUCUUCCUGAAUGAAGAGCAGAGAUUAUGAUGAAUUUUUUUCACUGAUAUUUUUG